CUUGUGGCAGGGGAUGAGAGGAUGGGGGUGACAGUGUGUAACCUGCUUCCCCCAAAAAACACCAUGUGAACAGUUUUUAAAUUGCUUCACAAGGUCAUGAAAUUUAGUGUGUGCCUCUUCCAGGGGGGCUGGGAACUUACCUGUUUUGUUUUCCUGGCCAAGUGCCUAAUGCAGAGUAGGUGCUUAAUGAAUCUGUGCCACCUGGAGGCCUGCACGGCUGGCUGCACCCGUUUUGUCCUAGAGCUGCAGGACUGGGGAGCCGAGCCCCCGGGACGCAUGUGAAGUCCCUUCUAGUUUUCCUCAAUUAUGGCUUUGCAAUGAAUAUCCUUCCUUCAGAAAUCCUUGACUGCAUCUCUUGAUUAUUUCCUUAGGGUAUUUUCCUAGCCGUGGGAUUGCUGGAUUGAAAGCUGCACACGCAUUUAAGGCUCUUCAAUCAGAACCCCUCCAGCAGUUCAAAAACGAACCAGCGUUCCCAGCACACUGGCCCCAACUGGGUAUUAUCAGGCUUCUUUUUUAUUUUGUCUUUUGCCGUUUUGACAGAAUAAAAAUGAUAUCUUAUUUGCCUCUCUUUGCAGUAGAUGGAGAUUGAACUAAUUGUGAAGAAACACCCUGUGGAACCCAGAGAGCUCCUGUGGGGAGCAGGAGACCAGUGAAACUCGGCCCCUUCUGCCCGGGUGGCGAAACCAAAGAGCACCUGUGUUUGGGGUGAUUUCACCCGAAGAGGACAGCAAGAAACGGCAGAAAUGGGAUAACGAUUUCAGCUUAGAGUCCUGGGAAAGCAGGAGGGCUGAGUGUGAGCUUUGAAGGAUAUUUCCAGAAGAUGAGAGCUCACAAGGCCAGGGGUCCCCGCGGAUGUGGAAGGGCCUUUCCAUGGGCUUUCGAGGAUCAAAGUGAAACUGACGGGGACAAAGGAAAGGGGUGAGGAAGCGGAGGCAGCGGUGCCGGUGCCGCUCAGGCUGCGAGCCAGGGGCGAGGAGGUGGACUUGGCGUUUGCCCAGAGGCGAGGUGCGCUGCAGGCCUUUUCCUGGCUGGGAAACAAAGAGGACUUCUCACCCAGGCAGGGCCAGGGACGGCGCCCGCUCUUCAGAUGUCCACUGGGCUCUUUCACAGACCUCACCCAGGAGGAUAGCCGACUUACAAAUGUUUACAGACAACUUUAUUUACGGAUCUAGCUCUCAUUUACGCUCACCUAAAUGUAUGGUCCUAAUUACAGUCAUCAGCAGUUUCUCGAUAAUAAACACACGGGAUGUGUUUUAUAGUUGUUGUUUUUAAACUUUGUGGGGGAGUUUAUUUUCUUGAUCGCUGUAAAUUUCCUACUAAAGCCUGAAAUUGAACAAUCAGCUUCUCACAGCAACCUGUGAAUUUUCUGCCACUUUAAUUCUUCUAAAAGGACCUAAGUCAAACUCGAAACAGUAGUUCUUAGAGAUUUCAGUGAAUGAUUUCAAAACCUCAUCACUCUUCAAAAUCACUUGGUGACUUUUUAAGAAAUUACAGUUUCCCUGCCUCCCUCUUGGGAGACUAAUUUUUUUUAGGGCUCAGACAUACCCGGAACUGGUAUUUUGAAAAGCCUCCCAGAUGAUUCUUAAGUUGCUGCUACAAAAACGAACUUUGGGGAACUGAUGUCUGAAUGCUUACGUAUUUUUGUUUGUUUUUAAACGAAGUUUGGAAAUGGCAGUUGUCACUUCUAAAAUAUAUUACACAGUGUUUUGCA